rnacentral:rRNA from 1 species
UACGUAGGGUGCGAGCGUUGUCCGGAAUUAUUGGGCGUAAAGAGCUCGUAGGCGGUUUGUUGCGUCUAUCGUGAAAACCUGCAGCUUAACUGUGGGCUUGCGGUGGAUACGGGCAGACUUGAGUUCGGUAGGGGAGACUGGAAUUCCUGGUGUAGCGGUGAAAUGCGCAGAUAUCAGGAAGAACACCCGUGGCUAAGGCGGCUCUCUAGUACGGUACUGACGCUGAGACGCGAAAGCGUGGGAGCGAACAGG